rnacentral:rRNA from 1 species
CGCGUAGGUGGUAGUGAAAGUCUAUGGUGGAAUCUUAGGGCUUAACCCCUAAAACUGCCUUGGAAACUUCAUUACUUGAGUCAGUGAGGGGAGGGUAGAAUUCCUGGUGUAGCGGUGAAAUGCGUAGAUAUCAGGAGGAAGGCCGGUGGCGAAGGCGGCCCUCUGGCGCUGAACUGACGCUGAGGCGCGAAAGCGUGGGUAGCAAACAGGAUUAGAUACCCUGGUAGUCCACGCCCUAAACGGUGGGUACUAGGUGUAGGGCUCGUAAGGGUUCUGUGCCGAAGGGAAACCAUUAAGUACCCCGCCUGGGGAGUACGGCCGCAAGGUUGAA